GGAUGUGAGGGAGAUCUGGCUGUGACAUCUGUCACCCCAUUGGUUGCCAGGGUUGAUUUGGCUGAUCGGACUGGCUAGGAGGGUGUCCCCUUCCUCCUGCUCCACUCUAUAUUCAUCUCUCUGAAGCUGCAAGCUUGGUCAAAGAGAACGACACCCCCAAUAGAGGAGGACUAUUUCUUCAGUCAAGGGUAUACGAGUAGCUGCCCUCCCCUACUAGAACCUUCAAACAAGCUCUCAAGAAAUCAACGUUUCAAUAUCUUGGUUUGGAUUUCUAGUAUCCAAAACUGAGAAAUUAUAUCUGUGCUAUUAAAACAAUUCUUCUUUUUGCAUUUUUUAUUACAAUCUCAG
ensembl:misc_RNA 7SK 7SK RNA